rnacentral:rRNA from 1 species
AUGAACGCUAGCGGCAGGCCUAACACAUGCAAGUCGAGGGGCAUCACGAGGUAGCAAUACUUUGGUGGCGACCGGCGCACGGGUGCGUAACGCGUAUGUAACCUACCUAUAACAGGGGCAUAACACUGAGAAAUUGGUACUAAUUCCCCAUAAUAUUCGGAGAGGCAUCUCUCCGGGUUGAAAACUCCGGUGGUUAUAGAUGGACAUGCGUUGUAUUAGCUAGUUGGUGAGGUAACGGCUCACCAAGGCAACGAUACAUAGGGGGACUGAGAGGUUAACCCCCCCACACUGGUACUGAGACACGGACCAGACUCCUACGGGAGGCAGCAGUGAGGAAUAUUGGUCAAUGGACGCAAGUCUGAACCAGCCAUGCCGCGUGCAGGAAGACGGCUCUAUGAGUUGUAAACUGCUUUUGUACGAGGGUAAACUCACCUACGUGUAGGUGACUGAAAGUAUCGUACGAAUAAGGAUCGGCUAACUCCGUGCCAGCAGCCGCGGUAAUACGGAGGAUUCAAGCGUUAUCCGGAUUUAUUGGGUUUAAAGGGUGCGUAGGCGGUUUGAUAAGUUAGAGGUGAAAUCCCGGGGCUUAACUCCGGAACUGCCUCUAAUACUGUUAGACUAGAGAGUAGUUGCGGUAGGCGGAAUGUAUGGUGUAGCGGUGAAAUGCUUAGAGAUCAUACAGAACACCGAUUGCGAAGGCAGCUUACCAAACUAUAUCUGACGUUGAGGCACGAAAGCGUGGGGAGCAAACAGGAUUAGAUACCCUGGUAGUCCACGCAGUAAACGAUGAUAACUCGUUGUCGGCGAUACACAGUCGGUGACUAAGCGAAAGCGAUAAGUUAUCCACCUGGGGAGUACGUUCGCAAGAAUGAAACUCAAAGGAAUUGACGGGGGCCCGCACAAGCGGAGGAACAUGUGGUUUAAUUCGAUGAUACGCGAGAAACCUUACCCGGGCUUGAAAGUUACUGACGAUUCUGGAAACAGGAUUUCCCUUUGGGGCAGGAAACUAGGUGCUGCAUGGUUGUCGUCAGCUCGUGCCGUGAGGUGUCGGGUUAAGUCCCAUAACGAGCGCAACCCCUACCGUUAGUUGCCAUCAGGUCAAGCUGGGCACUCUGGCGGGACUGCCGGUGUAAGCCGAGAGGAAGGUGGGGAUGACGUCAAAUCAGCACGGCCCUUACGUCCGGGGCUACACACGUGUUACAAUGGGGGGUACAGAAGGCAGCUACACGGCGACGUGAUGCUAAUCCCGAAAGCCUCUCUCAGUUCGGAUUGGAGUCUGCAACCCGACUCCAUGAAGCUGGAUUCGCUAGUAAUCGCGCAUCAGCCACGGCGCGGUGAAUACGUUCCCGGGCCUUGUACACACCGCCCGUCAAGCCAUGGGAGCCGGGGGUACCUGAAGUGCGUAACCGCGAGGAUCGCCCUAGGGUAAAACUGGUGACUGGGGCU